GUACCCGAGGCCGGGCCGGAGCCGCAGGCCAGCCGCGAUUCCUUCGGGCGAUGCUGGGGGCUUUCCGGUCGGGGCCGCAGCCGCUUCCGGAGCCGCGGGCGAGUCGAUUCACCAUGAUCUUGGCUGGCUGUCUUCUUCCUUCAUGGCUGCUAGUAAUGACAAUUCAGUGGCUGUUUCUUCAGCUGUGCAAAGUUGGAACAUGUUUGGGAGUUCAACGGCAUUGGUUUCUGGUUGGUGCAAGCGGUCUUCUCUGUCUUCUUUAUGGCCAGUAAAAUUCUCCAGAAGAGAUUUAUGGCAGCCUCACUCCCAGUAGUUUCUGCAUUUAGUGAGAUAAGGAAUGGAUUUUCUUCUGUGUAUUGCUGACACGAACAGGAGACGGAAAUACUGAGUAGAAGAGGGCGGUUCCCUGGCUAAGGCCCCACCCUCAAGCCUGGAUACCCGCGGCCCUAAAUGAGAAGAGGCGUUUCUGUUUGGGGCCCAAAAAGUUGCUUUUUGACCCACCACGCCCCCUAUCCUGCCCCCAUAUAAACCCCAAACCCCAACCUCCAGAGCAUACCAGCAGGUGAGGAGAUACGAGGCAAGCCGACUGAC
rnacentral:lncRNA from 1 species